rnacentral:rRNA from 1 species
GACGUAGGGCGCGAGCGUUGUCCGGAUUUAUUGGGCGUAAAGAGCUCGUAGGCGGCUUGUUGCGUCGGCUGUGAAAACCCAUGGCUCAACCGUGGGCUUGCAGCCGAUACGGGCAGGCUAGAGUUCGGUAGGGGAGACUGGAAUUCUUGGUGUAGCGGUGAAAUGCGUAGAUAUCAAGAGGAACACCUGAGGUGAAGACGGGUUGCUGGGCCGACACUGACGCUGAAGCGCGAAAGCCAGGGGAGCAAACGGG